rnacentral:rRNA from 1 species
GAUGAACGCUGGCGGCGUGCCUAACACAUGCAAGUCGAACGGAAAGACCCAAGCUUGUUUCGGUUCUCGAUUGCGGAAGGCGGGAGUAUCACGUGGGUAUCCUGCUCUGCUCUUCCGGAGAAGACUGCGAAAGUGGGUCUACUAUAGGAUAGGAUACGGGUUACGAUGCAAUUCAGGAGAGCUUUUUCGGUUUGGGGUGAGUUUGAGGCGUAUCCGCUAGUUGGUGGGGUAAAGGUAAACCAAGGCGACGACGCGUAGCCGGUCCGAGAGGGAGAACAGCCACACUGGAACGGAGACACGGACCAGACUCCUAAGGGAGGCAGCAGUCGGGAAUGUUGCAGCAGGGGCGAAAGCCUGACCAAGCGAGACCGCGUGAGUGAGGAAGGCCUCCGGGUUGUAAACCGCUUUUGUUGGGGAAGAACAUCUGGAUAUGAACGCAGCGCUGUUGUGACGGUACCUAAAGAAUAAGCACCGGCUAACUACGUG